rnacentral:miRNA from 1 species
GUAAAACCAUUAUGCAUUGUAUUUUUAGGCCCCACACCUAUUGAGACCUAAAAAUACAAUGCAUAACGGUUUU